rnacentral:tRNA from 1 species
GGUGGUGGUCGAGUGGUUUAGGGCGUUGGCUUACGACCUCAGGGGUUCGAGGUUCAAAUCCCCGCCACCACCG